GACGAACGCUGGCGGCGUGCUUAACACAUGCAAGUCGAACGAAGUGGCGAACGGGUGAGUAACGCGUAAUCAACCUGCCCUUCAGAGGGGGACAACAGUUGGAAACGACUGCUAAUACCGCAUACUGAAGGAGGUGAUUGCGUCUGAUUAGCUAGUUGGAGGGGUAAUGGCCCACCAAGGCGAUGACCAGUAGGCGGUCUGGGGGGAUGAACGGCCACAAUGGGAAUGAGACACGGCCCAGACUCCUACGGGAGGCAACAAUGGGGAAUCUUCCGCAAUGGACGGAAGUCUGACGGAGCAACGCCGCGUGAGUGAUGACGGCCUUCGGGUUGUUAAGCUCUGUUAAUCGGGACGCGGUACCGGAAUAGAAAGCCACGGCUAACUACGUGCCAGCCGCCGCGGUAAUUC
rnacentral:rRNA from 1 species